CGUGUAUGCGAAAGAAGAAACAUUUUCUGUUGGACACGUGUUGGUAGGAGAGAAAAAACACGUUGAGAGGAAAAAAGGUCGAAGUUGACGAAGAAACUCGGUGGUCUCCUCGGUGCUCUCCUCCUCGACGAAGAAUCUCGGCGGUGGCUCUCCUCGGCGAGAAAUCUGGGUUAGCUCUCGUUGACGAAGAUUCUCGGUUGCUCUCCUUUCCUCAACUCAGAAAAUUGUCGGUGAGUCUUCUCGAUGAAGACAAUCGUCAGUUUCUGCUCCUUCUUAAUCGAAAGAGGCAACAAGGAUGGAUUGACCAGGCUUUUAGCUUGGAAGUGACCAGGCUGCAUUCUCUUCACAGCAAACAAACGAACAGAAGCAGCUAUCUAUGCAUGGAAAGAGAGGAUUACAGAACAAGCAAGCAGUAGUAAGUGGUCAUUAGUUAGAGAUUCAUUGUCUGAGAUUAGUUGCAUUGAAUCAUUUAUAAACAGGGCAGUGAGGCUUAAUGGUCAGAUUAAAUCCAAAUACUCUCAUCUUCCUCAAUGAAAGUGUUUUAAUUUUUUUUAAGAACCCAUAAUCAAGAGACUUGCAAUAAACCACCUAAAUGUUCAAAUGUU